rnacentral:lncRNA from 1 species
AAGAAAAGAAAAAAUAGAAAAAAAUGAAAAUGAAUGCUUGCUUGGAAGAAAAAUAGUGAAAAAAAAACUUGAGUUGUAAAAUAAGAGUUGUGAAGGUUUCAAAUGAGAAACAAAUGGAACGAAGUUGAGAUGUGUGAAUAAUGUACAGUGAAUGUCUCUUUUGCAUCGGCAAUUUCGUUUUGAAUGGCCUUAGAAAUGAC